GUCAACUUAAUAUUCCUCACAAUUCUUAUUUGAGCGGCAAUAUACAUCGAUUGGAGAAGCUUCUCACAUACGCUUCUUUUAUAGUCUCUCUCUCUCAUUCUCUCAUACUGGGAUUAGGGUUUUUUUGUUUCCAUUGUUCCUCUUCAUCACAUAAUCCCUCAUUCGCAUUCUGUUUGGAGAAAACCUAGCCGCAGACCAUGGAUUCUCAUCUUCAUCUUUAAGUAAACUGAAAGAAAGGGGAACUCGCCAAAUUUGAAGCCAUCGACUGUGGAAAACCACUCGAUGAAGCAACAUAGUUUUGGAGCGUUUUGGGCUUUUGUCAAACGUGUCAAGGCCGGUUAAGCCAGUCAGCACGUUAAUUGAGGAGUUGCUUGUGCUGAAAAUAUACAAAAUGGAGAUUGCUGAAG